rnacentral:misc_RNA from 1 species
GAUGAAGAACGUAGCGAAAUGCGAUAAGUAAUGUGAAUUGCAGAAUCCAGUGAAUCAUCGAAUCUUUGAACGCACAUUGCGCCCGCCAGCAUUCUGGCGGGCAUGCCUGUUCGAGCGUCAUUUCAACCCUCGACCUCCCUUUGGGGAAGUCGGCGUUGGGGACCGGCAGCACACCGCCGGCCCUGAAAUGGAGUGGCGGCCCGUCCGCGGCGACCUCUGCGUAGUAAUCCAACUCGCACCGGAACCCCGACGCGGCCACGCCGUAAAACACCCAACUUCUGAACGUUGACCUCGAAUCAGGUAGGGAUACCCGCUGAACUUAAGCAUAUCAUAAGCGGAGGA